rnacentral:lncRNA from 1 species
UUUAGGCAUUGAGCCUGAGGCUUUGGAGGGCUUGCUGUUUUUAGAGGGGUGCGAGAAGCCCAGCCCGGCUGGAAGGGAGCAGGCAGGGAGGAGGGUCCUGGGACUGCACUGCACAGAUGCUGGGCCUCUCUCUUGGUGAGAUGAAGGCACUGGAGAGUCCUGAGUGGGGGAGGUCACGCUUGGCCCCAGGUUUCCUCCCAGUUUCUGUGCAGAAAAUUCAGAGACCGAUGCAGAAAAUGGGCACUAGACAGCAGCCAGGAGGACAGCACUUUGAGAAGCGCUGGAUUCCAGGCAUGUCUGGAAGUUUGGUCAAGUGGGCAGCUUUUCCGUAGGCUGGCGACAGGUCGCAGGAGAGAGGGAACUCCAUGGUGCCGCCACACUGGGUCCAGCUGCUGGGCAUGCAAAGGCGCCUGACGUGAGAUGGGAAAGCUGGCCAGGGCAGCACCAGCGGGAAGAUCACGCGCAGUCACCCUCCAAACCUCCCAAGAGGGCACCGCCAGGAAUCCCCAGCUGCAGACAGAGGGCUGGCGGCUCCCUGGGCUCCAGAGAUCUUCGCACAUCCCUGCUCUGCCAGGGCUCCCACCUUGCAGACAGGAGAAGGUGGCUGAGGCCCAGCCAGAGCCCCCCACAGCCUCGCAGCGGAUAGCUAAAGAGGAAGCCUGGCUCAGCUACGCCUGGAGUCCGCCAAGAAGGGACAGCGCUCAAUGGUAGAAUGACACAUGGGUGCUCUAACAGAUUCCCGUUUUGUGAAGAUGGACAAGCUCUAAGCAGGAGGACUUACAGGAGGUCAGCGGCUGGUGGCCCUGGCAGGGCUAUCAUGGACCUGUUCCAUGAAGAAAGAGACACAGAUCUCUCUGUGGAAAGGUGCAGGCUCUGCUGCAGGAGGAAAAUGGCAACAAGAAGCCCAGUUGAGAAGAGUUUGUGUCUUUAUUUUCCUGUCGUGGAUGCAGAGAGCUCCUGCGGGUGUUUACAAAAGGUCCCUUGGUGUCAUUCUGCUUCUUGGCCCUCCAUCACUCAUGGAAUCACAGCUGAUGCCUGGGCUCACAGUUCUCCGAGAAAUCACUGGUGCCAGGGAAAAGUGUUCUCUGAUUGAUAUAGCACACUUGCUAUGUUUCACAGUUCAGCCCAAGCUCUAGCUGCUAUUUCUUAAGCAAAUGUGUGCUGUCUUCGUGGAGGUGGCAGUGGAGAAAGGAAAAUAUCAGCUCUCAGUGAUAUCACUAACAACACCCAGGGCAACAAUUACGCUGGCACGUCCUUUACUCUGGGACCUGCCUGGCCCUGAGGCCGUGUGGGCUUUGCUGGUCGGGUCCUCCCAGCCCUAAGAGGGGCAGGUCUCAGGAUCCCAUUUUGCAGACCGGGAAGUGGGGUCACCAGACAAGGACUGCACACUGUCCCACAACAAGGAGUUGUUGGAUCCCAGUCCCAAACCCAACGUGUGUGACUUCAGAACUGGUGCUCUGAGGAGCUUCUCAGUCACCAUCACUGUGCACUCCCUUAGCAGGGAUGGAUGUGGAAACUCACUCCUGAAUUGGACAACUAUUGCUGUUUUCCGUGGAGCUGCCAGAGGGAUCAUUGUAGAGCAACGGUCACCAGAGCACCACUCAGCUGUAAACACUCACUGCAACGAAGCUAAACCCAGACGACAGAUCUGGCAUGGCCUGGCCUCCGCUGCUCCCCAGCCUGGAGGACUCUGGCCAUGCCUCGGGGACAUUUCUAGGCUGGAGCAUAGACGAGCCAGUGCACGGACCUCCAGUUCUGAGUCCUGCCCUAACACCUGGGAGGAACGUGUGAGUUGUUGAUGAGCCGCGAUCUGUAGCCAUGCUGGAGGAGUUGGCAUGAAUGGGAAAUCCACCUUUCUUGCAAACUCCGACAUGCCACUGAGAAUUCAGAGUGAUAAGCUUAGCCUAAAGCUGCCUCCUCACAUAAGUUCAGCCUAAAUGGCAUGAACCCAGGAGGCGGAGCUUGCAGUGAGCCAAGAUCACGCCACUGCACUCCAGCCUGGGUGACAGAGCGAGACUCUUUCUGAAAAAAAAAAAAAAAGUCUUUCUGUACACAGUGAACUGUACCAAACUGGACGUGUAAAUAGUCUGUAACCUACUCUUGUGCCAGUC